AGUGAACGCUGGCGGUAGGCCUAACACAUGCAAGUCGGACGGCAGCACAGGAGAGCUUGCUCUCUGGGUGGCGAGUGGCGGACGGGUGAGGAAUACAUCGGAAUCUACUCUGUCGUGGGGGAUAACGUAGGGAAACUUACGCUAAUACCGCAUACGACCUACGGGUGAAAGCAGGGGACCUUCGGGCCUUGCGCGAUUGAAUGAGCCGAUGUCGGAUUAGCUAGUUGGCGGGGUAAAGGCCCACCAAGGCGACGAUCCGUAGCUGGUCUGAGAGGAUGAGCAGCCACACUGGAACUGAGACACGGUCCAGACUCCUACGGGAGGCAGCAGUGGGGAAUCUUGGACAAUGGGCGCAAGCCUGAUCCAGCCAUACCGCGUGGGUGAAGAAGGCCUUCGGGUUGUAAAGCCCUUUUGUUGGGAAAGAAAUCCAGCUGGCUAAUACCCGGUUGGGAUGACGGUACCCAAAGAAUAAGCACCGGCUAACUUCGUGCCAGCAGCCGCGGUAA
rnacentral:rRNA from 1 species